AGUGAACGCUGGCGGUAGGCCUAACACAUGCAAGUCGAACGGCAGCACAGUAAGAGCUUGCUCUUACGGGUGGCGAGUGGCGGACGGGUGAAGAAUACAUCGGAAUCUACUUUUUCGUGGGGGAUAACGUAGGGAAACUUACGCUAAUACCGCAUACGACCUACGGGUGAAAGCAGGGGAUCUUCGGACCUUGCGCGAUUGAAUGAGCCGAUGUCGGCUUAGCUAGUUGGCGGGGUAAAGGCCCACCAAGGCGACGAUCCGUAGCUGGUCUGAGAGGAUGAUCAGCCACACUGGAACUGAGACACGGUCCAGACUCCUACGGGAGGCAGCAGUGGGGAAUAUUGGACAAUGGGCGCAAGCCUGAUCCAGCCAUACCGCGUGGGUGAAGAAGGCCUUCGGGUUGUAAAGCCCUUUUGUUGGGAAAGAAAAGCAGCAGGUUAAUACCCCGCUGUUCUGACGGUACCCAAAGAAUAAGCACCGGCUAACUUCGUG
rnacentral:rRNA from 1 species